AACGAACGCUGGCGGCAUGCCUAACACAUGCAAGUCGAACGAGACCUUCGGGUCUAGUGGCGCACGGGUGCGUAACGCGUGGGAACCUGCCCUUAGGUUCGGAAUAACUCCCCGAAAGGGGUGCUAAUACCGGAUAAUGUCUUCGGACCAAAGAUUUAUCGCCUUUGGAUGGGCCCGCGUUGGAUUAGCUAGUUGGUAGGGUAAAAGCCUACCAAGGCGACGAUCCAUAGCUGGUCUGAGAGGAUGAUCAGCCACACUGGGACUGAGACACGGCCCAGACCCCUGGGGAGGGAAGGAGGGGGGAAUAGGGAACAAGGGGCGAAGGCUUAACAGAGAAAGCCCGGGUGAGGAGGGAGGGCUUGGGGGUUAAAAAGCUUUUUUCCCGGGGAAGAAAAUGAAGGUACGGGAAAAAAAAGCCCGGGCAACCCCGGGG
rnacentral:rRNA from 1 species